CCUUCGAUAGCUCAGUUGGGAGAGCGCGAGAUGAAUGUUACAAUCCUUGUACAGAACGAUUUGAUCUCGAGGCCGCUGGAUCGAAACCAGCUCGGAGGA